rnacentral:rRNA from 1 species
UACGUAGGUGGCAAGCGUUGUCCGGAUUUAUUGGGUUUAAAGGGUGCGUAGGCGGUCUAUUAAGUCAGUGCUGAAAUAUCCCGGCUUAACCGGGAGGGUGGCAUUGAUACUGAUGGACUUGAGUAGAGUCGAGGUAGGCGGAAUUGACGGUGUAGCGGUGAAAUGCUUAGAUAUCGUCAAGAACACCGAUAGUGUAGACAGCUUACUAGGCUCAAACUGACGCUGAGGCACGAAGGCCAGGGGAGCAAACGGG